CAUGCAUCGAACCUGGACUGGUGAUCUGUUUCACAUACGGCAAUAUACAUGUUUCAAUGCUAUUCUCUCAAACCAUCCCACCCUCGCCUUCUCCCACAGAGUCCAAAUGUCUGUUCUUCACAUCUGUGUCUCUUUUGCUGUCUUGCAGAUAAGGUCAUUGUUACCAUCUUUCUAAAUUCCAUAUAUAUGCGUUAAUACACUGUGUUUGUGUUUUUCCCCUGGUGGCUCAGAUGGUGAAGCGUCUGUCUACAAUGCGAGAGACCCAGGUUUGAUCCCUGGGUCGGGAAGAUCCCCUGGAGAAGGAAAUGGCAACCUGCUCCAGUAGUCUUGGCUGGAAAAUCCCAUGGAUGGAGAAGCAUGCUAUAGGAACAGUGAUGGGAUGUUGCUUCUGUGACCAGGUUCCUGAAAGGCUCUGGCUUUUGUCUUGAGUUGCUCUCCUCUCUCUCUUGUUCUCUUGCUCUGAGGGAGGGCAGCUCUAUGAACAGACUCACGUGGAAGGAACUGAUAUCUCCAGCUAAUAGCCAGUGAGGACUUGAGGCUUGCCAACAGCUACAGGAAUGAGCUUGGAAGUAGAUAUUCUGAAAUCUACCAACAGUCAUGUGAGUGGACUUGGAAGUGGAUCUUUCCUCUCUUGACUGAAGCAUCCCAAGGCACUUAGACAGAUGCAGCAAGCUAAUCCACACCCAGGUUCCUGAUGCAUAGACGCUGAGAGAUAAAAACUGCCAAGUCUGUGGGUGAUUUGUUAGGCAGCAGUAGAUAACGAAUACAGCAUGAUGCUUCGCUCAAGAGAUAAAGCAUGCUUUGUAGGAGUACAGAGGGAACAGCGAUUAACUCUGCACGGAGAGGCUGGGCAAGGUUCCCCUGUGGAGAGAAUGAUCCUCCAGCUGGAGAAGAUGGGCAUAGAUAACUGGUGGUGGUCCAUCCUCCCCGACCUCUCUCUUUUAUCACUACUGCACAACCUCCCAGCUCCUCCCGAGAGUUCUCACCUGACAAAGUACCUGGGCCCUGCCAUUCCAUAGAUCUGGACUAACGCGCCACUGGUAAUGGACUAAGAAGGAUACUUCUCUCCUCGCAUCUCUCUUUCAGCCACAGUGGGCUGGCCCUCUCCUGGCUAUCUCAAUUGGGUCCCAAUCCUGGCUGUUUUUGCCCCAGAAGGGGCCUCAGACAUUUCAUCUUUCAUUUUCAAAGUCUGCUCCCGCAUAGCUCCGCAUGUCUCCCUGUGCCCUCCUCAAUUAAAAAUGACACAAAAGUAAAGGAGACACAUAACUCUUUGAAAAGCCUUCCAGAUCCAAACUUUUUAAUGAAGACAGAAUAUAAAGAGCCUGUCUUAUCUCUCCGAUGCGACUCCCAUGUGCUGUAAUCAAGCGGAAUUAAUUAAAAGCAAUCAAGUGCCCAGAGCUGAUUGCACAACAAAACAACUCAUCUUGCUCAAGGAUAUGUUUUCCCUUAAACUCUGUACCAAUGACAACAAGGCAUCCUGCUUGAGGACAUGUCUCUCCUUCUUGAGAACCUUCUGACUAAUCCUGUCAUCUUAAAAUGUAUAUUAUGGGAGUGGGUCUGGUAAGGUCUUUCUAUUGUUAGUUCUAAUCCUGUUAUCUUAAAAUGUAUAUUGUGGGACUGGGUCUGGUAAGGCCUUUACCUGCUUGAGACAUUUUUUUAAUUUAUGGUAACAACCGAUUAAAAAAGUACAUAGCUCCCUUGUUAAGACCAGCAAGGGGGGCAUUCUCUGUCCCCCUUCUGAUAUCUAUGUCAGAAGCUUUCCCUGUCCCUUUUUCACUAUAAUAAAACUCUGCCACACAAAAGCUUUUGCGUGAUCAAGCCUGGUCCCUGGUCCCGAAGCUAAAUCUUCUUUGGAGAUCAUGAAUCCAAC
ensembl:lncRNA